AUGGCGGCACGGCACACUGCCCCCCCUCCUCCUCCCCACGACCCACCCGCCCACGUGGGGCAGCUGGGUGGAGAGCGUGGGGGGCGGGGGGGUCGCCUCUCGCCGGCCGAGUCAGAGGGAAACAAAGCAGACCGGUGGGUCGGAAGGCUUCACACGACGGGGCGUCCGGCGCCCACACACACACACACACACACACACACGGGUGAGUGGGUGGGGCACGGACAACCCCACAGGCGCCCGGGGGUUCCCACCCCCCAACACAGGCACGGGGCACACACGCGCUCGCUCGCACACGGCCACGGACCGACUGGCCGGCGAUGGCCACCGAGUAAGCCCCCUCCCGACGGCCGCGGUGAGAGGGGCUGGACCGCGACGAGGCACGGGGGCCCCGCCCCAUGGGGGGAAGCGGAGCCUGGGGGAGAAGGGACUCCUCCUCCCCACCGGCCCGACCGCCCCGACCCCAAGGCGGACGGGCGACCCCCCCUAGGGGUCUUUAAACCUCCGCGCCGGGACGCGCUAGGUACCUGGAGAGAGGGAGGCGGGCGAGGCGGGGCAGGGAGGGGGGAAAGCGCCGCACCCAGGCGCCCCCAACGACCGCCGGCCCUGACGACGGGUAACGAACUCCGUCCGUCGCGCGGCCCGCCCUCGGAACGCGGGUCUUACGUGGCACUGACGGCCCGUGACGCGGGAGCCACUCGGCCGCCGGCCGACCACCGCCCCCACCGCAAAGCAGCGCCGCCGCCGCCGCCGCCGAGGGCAGGGAGAGAGGGCCCGGGCCAAGCGGCGGCAGGAUCGGAGCAGUGGAGCGGAGGCAUGGAGGACCAACGGCCGGGAGAAAACCCGGCCCAGAGCCGGCGGCGGGAGGGCAAAGCCCAUCCCGAGACGCGCCGAAAACACCACGGGGCAGCCAAGGCCGCGCGACCGGAGACAGAGACGCGCGGGGGGGUGGGGGGGCAGGGCACGGCCCGGGCCCCCCCCCAAAAAGCCCCGGAUCAACCCUCGGACCCGCCUCUCGGCGACGUGGCGGGGAGGUCAGGCGGAAGAGAAACGCCGGAAUGCGUGCAAGCACUACACGGGGCGUCGGGGGGCGGGGUGGGACGGGGGCGGUGGCAGCCGGGAUCGCCGGGGGGGGGGGAGGAGGAGGAGAAGGCGCGUGGUGGGGGGAGCAGGCCGGGGAAAGGAACGGCCAAGCCGCCUGACCCCGGUCCCUCGGAUGCCACCCACACUCCCCAGAGCAGCCUCUCUCUCCGCUUUCCUCCCACCCCGGGUGACCCGACAAGGGCACCAACCCCGGCCAGGUGA
rnacentral:lncRNA from 1 species